rnacentral:rRNA from 1 species
UCCGUAGGCGGGUAAUUAAGUCAGAGGUGAAAUACCACAGCUUAACUGUGGAACUGCCUUAGAUACUGGUUAUCUUGAGUUUUAGUGAAGUAGAUAGAAUGUGUAGUGUAGCGGUGAAAUGCAUAGAUAUUACACAGAAUACCGAUUGCGAGGGCAGUCUACUAACUAACAACUGACGCUAAUGGACGAAAGCGUGGGGAGCGAACAGGAUUAGAUACCCUGGUAGUCC